rnacentral:rRNA from 1 species
UACGGAGGGUGCGAGCGUUGUCCGGAAUCAUUGGGCGUAAAGGGCGCGUAGGUGGCCCGGUCAGUUCGUGGUGAAAGCGCGGGGCUCAACCCUGCGUCGGCCAUGAAUACUGCCGCGGCUGGAGCACUGUAGAGGCAGGCGGAAUUCCGGGUGUAGCGGUGGAAUGCGUAGAGAUCCGGAAGAACACCGGUGGCGAAGGCGGAUCUCUGGGCCUGAUCUGACGCUGAGGCGCGAAAGCUAGGGGAGCGAACAGG